CAUUGCUUUAGCUGUGCCAACAUAUACGACUUUCUUACGCCAUAUUUCGUGGUGUAAUCGAUUACAUGCUGGAUUAUUUUGCACCAACAAUAGAGUUGGCCCGUUUGUUGAAAUAAUAGUCCAUUUUUGAGACCAGUACAAAGAAAAAGUGAGUAACACUACAAAGGACGUAAUGAUACUUAUCUGAAAUUGCAACUUGGAGAACCAACUAUGCAGGCAGCUGACUCCAAGGACACCAGUGCCUUUCAAGAUGACGGAAAUCCUCCCAGCUGCGCUCCAUUUCACUUCAAUAAAAAUAAUUAAUGCUGUUAUUAAGUCUUCUCUUAUUCCGAAUCACACAUAAUACAAAGCACUCAU